rnacentral:rRNA from 1 species
GACGAACGCUGGCGGCGUGCUUGACACAUGCAAGUCGAACGGAAAGGCCCUGCUUUUGUGGGGUGCUCGAGUGGCGAACGGGUGAGUAACACGUGAGUAACCUGCCCUUGACUUUGGGAUAACUUCAGGAAACUGGGGCUAAUACCGGAUAGGAGCUCCUGCUGCAUGGUGGGGGUUGGAAAGUUUCGGCGGUUGGGGAUGGACUCGCGGCUUAUCAGCUUGUUGGUGGGGUAGUGGCUUACCAAGGCUUUGACGGGUAGCCGGCCUGAGAGGGUGACCGGCCACAUUGGGACUGAGAUACGGCCCAGACUCCUACGGGAGGCAGCAGUGGGGAAUAUUGCACAAUGGGCGGAAGCCUGAUGCAGCAACGCCGCGUGCGGGAUGACGGCCUUCGGGUUGUAAACCGCUUUCGCCUGUGACGAAGCGUGAGUGACGGUAAUGGGUAAAGAAGCACCGGCUAACUACGUGCCAGCAGCCGCGGUGAUACGUAGGGUGCGAGCGUUGUCCGGAUUUAUUGGGCGUAAAGGGCUCGUAGGUGGUUGAUCGCGUCGGAAGUGUAAUCUUGGGGCUUAACCCUGAGCGUGCUUUCGAUACGGGUUGACUUGAGGAAGGUAGGGGAGAAUGGAAUUCCUGGUGGAGCGGUGGAAUGCGCAGAUAUCAGGAGGAACACCAGUGGCGAAGGCGGUUCUCUGGGCCUUUCCUGACGCUGAGGAGCGAAAGCGUGGGGAGCGAACAGGCUUAGAUACCCUGGUAGUCCACGCUGUAAACGGUGGGUACUAGGUGUGGGGUCCAUUCCACGGGUUCCGUGCCGUAGCUAACGCUUUAAGUACCCCGCCUGGGGAGUACGGCCGCAAGGCUAAAACUCAAAGGAAUUGACGGGGCCCCGCACAAGCGGCGGAGCAUGCGGAUUAAUUCGAUGCAACGCGUAGAACCUUACCUGGGUUUGACAUGGAUCGGGAGCGCUCAGAGAUGGGUGUGCCUCUUUUGGGGUCGGUUCACAGGUGGUGCAUGGCUGUCGUCAGCUCGUGUCGUGAGAUGUUGGGUUAAGUCCCGCAACGAGCGCAACCCUUGUUCACUGUUGCCAGCACGUUAUGGUGGGGACUCAGUGGAGACCGCCGGGGUCAACUCGGAGGAAGGUGGGGAUGACGUCAAGUCAUCAUGCCCCUUAUGUCCAGGGCUUCACGCAUGCUACAAUGGCUGGUACAGAGAGUGGCGAGCCUGUGAGGGUGAGCGAAUCUCGGAAAGCCGGUCUCAGUUCGGAUUGGGGUCUGCAACUCGACCUCAUGAAGUCGGAGUCGCUAGUAAUCGCAGAUCAGCAACGCUGCGGUGAAUACGUUCCCGGG